GCUAUACAUGCAGUCGAACGGCAGCACGGGUAGCAAUACCUGGUGGCGAGUGGCGCACGGGUGCGUAACGCGUAUGCAAUCUACCUAUAACUGGGGAAUAGCCUUCCGAAAGGAAGAUUAAUACCGCAUAAUAUCACGAAACGGCAUCGCUUUGUGAUCAAAUCUCCGGAGGUUAUAGAUGAGCAUGCGUGACAUUAGCUAGUUGGUGAGGUAACGGCUCACCAAGGCGACGAUGUCUAGGGGGUCUGAGAGGAUGAUCCCCCACACUGGUACUGAGACACGGACCAGACUCCUACGGGAGGCAGCAGUAAGGAAUAUUGGACAAUGGCCGCAAGGCUGAUCCAGCCAUGCCGCGUGCAGGAUGAAGGUGCUCUGCAUUGUAAACUGCUUUUGUUUGGGAAUAAACCCCUCUACGUGUAGAGGGCUGAAUGUACCAAAAGAAUAAGGGACGGCUAACUUCGUGCCAGCAGCCGCGGUAAUACGAAGGUCCCAAGCGUUAUCCGGAUUUAUUGGGUUUAAAGGGUGCGUAGGCGGGUUAUUAAGUCAGUGGUGAAAGCCUACAGCUUAACUGUAGAAUUGCCAUUGAUACUGAUGAUCUUGAGUAUGAUUGAGGUUGGCGGAAUGUGUCAUGUAGCGGUGAAAUGCUUAGAUAUGACACAGAACACCGAUUGCGAAGGCAGCUAACUAAGCCAUAACUGACGCUGAUGCACGAAAGCGUGGGGAGCAAACAGGAUUAGAUACCCUGGUAGUC
rnacentral:rRNA from 1 species